rnacentral:rRNA from 1 species
AGUGAACGCUGGCGGUAGGCCUAACACAUGCAAGUCGAACGGCAGCACAGUAAGAGCUUGCUCUUACGGGUGGCGAGUGGCGGACGGGCGAGGAAUACAUCGGAAUCUACUUUUUCGUGGGGGAUAACGUAGGGAAACUUACGCUAAUACCGCAUACGACCUACGGGUGAAAGCAGGUGAUCUUCGGACCUUGCGCGAUUGAAUGAGCCGAUGUCGGAUUAGCUAGUUGGCGGGGUAAAGGCCCACCAAGGCGACGAUCCGUAGCUGGUCUGAGAGGAUGAUCAGCCACACUGGAACUGAGACACGGUCCAGACUCCUACGGGAGGCAGCAGUGGGGAAUAUUGGACAAUGGGCGCAAGCCUGAUCCAGCCAUACCGCGUGGGUGAAGAAGGCCUUCGGGUUGUAAAGCCCUUUUGUUGGGAAAGAAAAGCAGCAGGUUAAUACCCCGCUGUUCUGACGGUACCCAAAGAAUAAGCACCGGCUAACUUCGUG